rnacentral:misc_RNA from 1 species
GAAAUGCGAUAAGUAAUGUGAAUUGCAGAAUUCAGUGAAUCAUCGAAUCUUUGAACGCACAUUGCGCCCCCUGGUAUUCCGGGGGGCAUGCCUGUCCGAGCGUCAUUGCUGCCCUCAAGCACGGCUUGUGUGUUGGGCUUCCGUCCCUGGCAACGGGGACGGGCCCAAAAGGCAGUGGCGGCACCAUGUCUGGUCCUCGAGCGUAUGGGGCUUUGUCACCCGCUCCCGUAGGUCCAGCUGGCAGCUAGCCUCGCAACCAAUCUUUUUAACCAGGUUGACCUCGGAUCAGGUAGGGAUACCCGCUGAACUUAAGC